ACCCCAAACCGACACAGGUGGUCAGGUAGAGAAUACCAAGGCGCUUGAGAGAACUCGGGUGAAGGAACUAGGCAAAAUGGUGCCGUAACUUCGGGAGAAGGCACGCUGAUACGUAGGUGAAGUCCCUUGCGGAUGGAGCUGAAAUCAGUCGAAGAUACCAGCUGGCUGCAACUGUUUAUUAAAAACACAGCACUGUGCAAACACGAAAGUGGACGUAUACGGUGUGACGCCUGCCCGGU
rnacentral:rRNA from 1 species